GCUCGUCGGGCUCAUAACCCGAAGGUCACUGGUUAGAGUCCAGUUCCAGCUA
rnacentral:tRNA from 1 species